AUUGAACGCUGGCGGCAGGCCUAACACAUGCAAGUCGAGCGAGCGGCGGACGGGUGAGUAAUGUAUGGGGAUCUGCCCGAUAGAGGGGGAUAACUACUGGAAACGGUGGCUAAUACCGCAUACUAUCGGAUGAACCCAUAUGGGAUUGGCUAGUAGUUGGGGUAACGGCUCACCCAGGCGACGAUCCCUAGCUGGUCUGAGAGGAUGACCAGCCACACUGGAACUGAGACACGGCCCAGACUCCUACGGGAGUCAGCAGUGGGGAAUAUUGCACAAUGGCCGAAAGCCUGAUGCAGCCAUGCCGCGUGUAUGAAGAAGGCCUUAGGGUUGUAAAGUACUUUCAGCGGGGAGGCGUUACCCGCAGAAGAAGCACCGGCUAACUCCGUGCCAGCAGCCGCGGUAAUUC
rnacentral:rRNA from 1 species